UCCACGCUCCCCUGCUCUGCCUCACACUGCACACACUGGAUUUGGUUGCUCAGCCAUCUCCCCAACUUCAUCCUCAUCUGUAUCCAUUCUCCCAUCCUCAUCUGUCACUAAUAUGGCUUCUAAAGGUAAACUCUCGUUGUUUUAAUGAACAACAUUUUACUUUAAAUGUCCUGAUAUAUUGUUUUUAUACUUUGGCAUUGAGGGCAUUAAGUUUGUGUAAAUAUUAUAGUAUCUUCAGUCCACAAUCUCAGCUACAUAACAGCCGUUUCAUAGCACUGUCAUCCAUAACUCUCAGACGACGCUUAGACAAGGACAACAUGCUCUGUCCUCCAUAUUCUGUUAACAGUCAGUUUGACAAAAGCAUUCUUACCUGCAAACACCUCUGCAUCCACACUUAAAAAGGUCACUAAUGACAUUCUGCAAAGGAAUAUUUCAGGCUUUUGGUGAACUGUAUUUAUUGCAGGCUAUGCUGGGUUUGAUUUUGAAUAUUGAGAAUUUUAAGCAUGUAGCAUUAUAUUUUACAAAGCCAUGCUCACUCUGAAACAAUCAGCUUCCUGACACCUGUUUUGUUGUGUAAUCAGUGAUACAGUCAGACCAUUCAAAGGAAUCACAAUAUGCUCUUUCUUGCACGCUCCCCUGCUCGGUCUCACACUGCACACACUGGAGUUGGCUUCUCAGUGAAAACCAUCUCCACAUCAGAAUUCUUACCAGACGCACAUUGGUUUUCUUAAAUGACAAUGUGACUAAGGUCAAUUCUCAAAGUAAAGUAUCAUUGUAUUACUGGUCAAUAUUUUAUAGUAAAUGUCCACGUUGUUGUUAGUCAGGUAUUGAGCGCAUUCAUUAUGAGCAAACAUUCUGGCAUCUUCAGUCCAACAUCCCAGCUACGUAAUAGCUAUUUCAUAGCACAGUCAACCAUAAUUCUCAGGGUAUACUAAGAAAAAACACUACAUCCUCUUUCUUCUACGCUUCCCCGCUCUUUUUCACACUGCACACUUUGGAUUUUGUUUCUCAGCAAUCUCCACGACUCCAUCCUCACAUGCAUCCACUCUCACCUCCUUAAUGGUCGAUGUCAGUAGUGUCACGUCUGAAGGUAAAUUUUCAUUGUAUAAUUGAAAGAAAGUUUUAGUGAUUGUCAAACAAUUUGUAUAAUUAAGGAUUCAGUGUUUCCGAUCAUCUUAUGGUGCGUAAUCUCCAUCCCAAAAUCUCCGCUCUAUAACAGUUGUUUCAGAACACUGUCAACUAUAACGUUCCGACUGUACUAAAGCAAUCACAACAUCCUCUGUCUUCCACACUCCACUGCUCUUACUCACACGCAUGCAUUGGUUUGUUGUACUUCACAGCCAAGCCCACAACAAUCCCCUUAUCUGCAUCCAAGUCUAAAUCUUCAACUAACACUGUCAAAGAUGACUCUUCUCCAGGUGAAGUUCCAGUGUAUCAUUGUACGGUAUUUAUCACCAACUGUGUGUGUUUAAUUUCAUGUGUUGAGAGUUUUCAGUAUUUUGGAUCAGAAUUUCAACUGGCAUUUUCAGGUCCAAAAAUCAGCUCCUUCACAGAUAUUUUGCAGCAAAUUUAACCGAUCAUACCUAUCGGGUUCCUUUAAAGAGUUCACAACAAACAUUGUCUUCUGCACUCCGCCGCUUUUACUCAAACUGCAUUUACUUGAUAUGUUUAUUCAGAAAUGCGAUUCCAACUUACACAAUCAUCUGAAAAGGUUAAUGAUGCCAGUUACCAAGAUAAGGUUUUGAACCAAACAUACUGAAUUUUUUUAAGGUUGCCAACUAUAAACACUGAGAAUGUGCCCAAAGUAAUCACAACAUGCUCUUUCUUGCACGCUCCCCUGCUCGGUCUCACACUGCACGCAUUGGAUGUGGGUUCUCAGCCAACUCCACACCUCCAUCCUCACAUGCAUCCACUCUCACCUCCUUAAUGGCCGAUGUCAGUAGUGUCACGUCUGAAGGUAAAUUUUCAUUGUAUAAUUGAAAGAAAGUUUUGGCCAUUGUCAAACAAUUUGUAUAAUUAGGGAUUCAGUGUUUACGAUCAUCUUAUGGUGCGUAAUCUCCAUCCAAAAAUCUCUGCUCUAUAACAGUUGUUUCAGAACACUGUCAACCAUAACGUUCCGACUGUACUAAAGCAAUCGCAACAUCCUCUGUCUUCCACA